UACGUAGGGGGCGAGCGUUGUCCGGAAUUAUUGGGCGUAAAGAGCUCGUAGGCGGUUCGUCGCGUCGGCUGUGAAAUCCCGAGGCUCAACCUCGGGUCUGCAGUCGAUACGGGCGGACUGGAGUACUGCAGGGGAGACUGGAAUUCCUGGUGUAGCGGUGAAAUGCGCAGAUAUCAGGAGGAACACCGGUGGCGAAGGCGGGUCUCUGGGCAGUUACUGACGCUGAGGAGCGAAAGCGUGGGGAGCGAACAGG
rnacentral:rRNA from 1 species